rnacentral:rRNA from 1 species
GCUUUUUGUUUUAUAUUUGAAGUAGAACCUGCCCAAUGUAUAAUCAAUGGCUGCAGUAUUUUGACUGUACUAAGGUAGCAUAAUCAUUAGCUUUUUAAUUGGAAGCUGGAAUGAAUGGUAUAAUGGAAAAAUUGCUGUCUCGGGUUAAUUUUUAUUAAAAUUUUAUUUUUAAGUUAAAAAGCUUAGAUUUUUUUAAAAGACGAGAAGACCCUAUAGAAUUUUAUAUAUUAAUUAUUAUUAUUUUUUAGAAUUUAUAGUGUUAUUAAUUAUUAUAUUUGGUUGGGGUGACUAAAAAAUUUAAAUAACUUUUUUUUAUAUAUAAAUACUAAUUUGUAAAUUUAUGAGCCAUAUAUUAUGAUUGAAAGAAUAAAUUACCUUAGGGAUAACAGCGUAAUUUUACUGGAGAGUUCUUAUUGAUAGUAGAGUUUGCGACCUCGAUGUUGGAUUAAAA